GGGCCCGUAGCUCAGUCGGCCAGAGCGCCGGACUCUUAAUCCGGGGGUCGCGGGUUCGAAUCCCGCCGGGCCCA
rnacentral:tRNA from 1 species